rnacentral:rRNA from 1 species
GAUCCUGGCUCAGAUUGAACGCUGGCGGUAUGCUUAACACAUGCAAGUCGAACGGAAACGAUGGUAGCUUGCUACCAGGCGUCGAGUGGCGGACGGGUGAGUAACGCGUAGGAAUCUGCCUGAUAGUGGGGGAUAGCCCAGAGAAAUCUGGAUUAAUACCGCAUAAUCUCUAUGGAGUAAAGGAGCCCUCUUCUUGAAAGGUUUCGCUAUCAGAUGAGCCUGCGUAAGAUUAGCUUGUUGGUGAGGUAAAAGCUCACCAAGGCGACGAUCUUUAGCUGGUCUGAGAGGAUGAUCAGCCACACUGGAACUGAGACACGGUCCAGACUCCUACGGGAGGCAGCAGUGGGGAAUAUUGGACAAUGGGCGCAAGCCUGAUCCAGCAAUACCGCGUGUGUGAAGAAGGCCUGAGGGUUGUAAAGCACUUUCAAUUGUGAAGAAAAGCUAAUGGCUAAUACCCAUUAGCCUUGACGUUAACUUUAGAA